CUAGCUUAGAUGUUUUGCUGCAAAAUAAGCCAGCUGUGCGAUUGCUCUUGGUGACUAUUGUCAACAGGCCCCCAUGGCAAAAGUUCCUGAGUGUCGCAGGCAGGGUCUUCCUUUUGGAGCUGGUAGCCCUAGACUGUAAGCAAGAGAUAAGGAUAAUUUGAGAGCUAAAUGCCAGCAGCAUGCUGUCCUUUGUCUCACACUAGAUUGCAGUGGGUCCUCAGGCUUUUGGUUCUGGGGGGAGAUAUGUUAUGCUGUGUGUGCUGACGUGCAUUCUUCCAGGCCUCGAGAUGAAACAACUUGGACAGCGACAGAGAAUUAAAACUUCACCUUGAAGCCCCUCUCCACUCAACCGAGCAACACUGCCUCCAGCAAAAGAAGUCGCAACGGUUUAAACACCAGCUCCAAGUCCAGACAGUGGUCUAUCAGGGACCACCAUUCAUAUUUCACUGGCGAAGAUAAUCAAGAUACUCAAAGAGUCAUCCUAAAGCCAGGAAGAUGGCUCAGUGGGCAAAGAUCUAUGGAAAUAAUUUACAGAAGACCCUUGAGAGUAAUUAAGCUUACAAUUCCUUUGCCAGUAAAAUGAGAAAAGCCAGCUCUCAGUAAAUUCUGAAUUCCACCAUGGAUGUUGCAGAAGCAGAACUAAAAACAGCUGCAUUCUCUCCCUGCUGCCGGAUCGACUGUAAUUUGCGCUGCUCCCCUCACUCCUAGCACACAGCAAUCAGUGCUCAGAAGUGAAGGGUUUUAAGAUGAUGAAUGUUUUAUUUCUUAAAAUAAACAGUAGCAAUUUAG